AGUCGACGCUUACUGUAGGUAGAAGAUUGGGUUUGCAAUAUUAAGAUAAUCUUAUCGGCCUUGCUAUGUUGGUACAGUCUGAAGCUUGUUCUUUUUACUACUUGCUUCUCCACUUUCUAUUUGCAUACAAUGCAAUACUGGAUAAUUCCUUACCAGCUGGUUGUGUACGCCUAACAUUUAAGCUCAUCGUGUACUUCCUUUGCCCAUAACUUAAAUUUUUAUUUCUUAUAUUUAGAUUGAGGAAGCAUCGUACAACAGCAGUGCGAGUACACAAUUAGCUGUAGCUGCAGAAGAAGAUGUGCACCAGGAGGAUUUAGCCGCGAGACAUGAAGCACAAGAUAGAGAAUUUGAAGAGAUGCAAAGAAGAGCCAACAAGAGAAGAAUAAGCCUGGCAAAAGAAGCAACAUGAGAUGGAUAACCUGAUUGGAUUUCUUUUAAGGGCUCAAGCAACUCAGCAAGCAAAUCAGUCCAACCUGAUGGUGCAUGAAGGCCAUCAUUUUGUGAAAGAAAGAUAGUUAUUUAAUCAUACAUUGCAGUCAUCAGGACAACAUAAGUGGUCUUUUAGUUAUGUAAAUAUUACUUUUCGUCUUAUUUAUUCUCGUGUCAAA